UGCACCUACCAUCAAUAUACACCUCUAGCCUUCUUUUAUUUCUUUUUCAUGAUUUCUUCUUUUUUAUUUUAUUUUUCUUUAACGGUUUUUAUCCCAUUUUAAUUCCAUUUUUUUAGGUGCUUUUAAUGUUUUUUAAACAUGAAAUACUAAAAAGAAAAUAUAUGAUAUGAUGUGAUUUAGUUGUUUUUGUUUAGAUUUUAAUCUAUUUUUUUUAGGAUUAACUUCCUAAUUAGAUUCUAACUAAUAACAUGUCAUGUUCAUCUUGAC
rnacentral:lncRNA from 1 species